AUUCAUCAGCGAGAGGGGACCUGAAAGCAGGUCGCCAUCUGUGAGGAUUAAAGUUAGGACCAAAUGCUGCUCAGAAAUUGUUUUAAUCUCAAAAGUAGUUGGCAAGUUUUCAGAGUUCAUUUUCAAGGCCUGGUGUAUGCAUUGGUUACAUGAAAACCGUGUGACAACCUUGGAAGUCUGAAAGAGCAGGAGAGAGGCUAAGCACACACAUAUUGUGAUUUUAAGAGUCUCAAGGUGAGAAGAAACAUCAGAAGCAGUUGAGAGACCAGGACGUGGGUCCUCAAAGGAUGAACAGAAGUUCUUUUGGAUAACAUUUUAAAAUGUUUCCUCCAGAGUUAUCUGCCUCAUUAACAAUGGUUUGAGUCUCAAGAGUCUCUCUUCGAUUUUACAAACAUGAUUUGUUGCUCUGCUAUAAAUGCAUGCUGCUCUAGUCCUUCAAUAAACCCACAACAUGUUUU
rnacentral:lncRNA from 1 species